UAUGCCACUCCCCUGUUGAGGCUGGUGACACUACCGCCACGCCAAAAUUGCACCUGGUGGCAAUUCACAGGUACUAAUUUUGGAUAUUUCCGAAGGGAACAUUUUUUUCUCUCCAGUUUUAGUUCAGGGUUCUAUAAUAUCAUAGCAACCUGCCUGCUAUUUCGAAACUUUGUUGAUAUUGUUUUGUCAAAACUCGAGAUUUUGCUUGAAUAUUACGGUGAGCCGUUCAUUAAGAUUCCUGCCAAAUUUCUCUUCAGGAAGUCGCUUAUCCCGAAUGUCGUUGUCGGGAAAAGCAUGCAACAGUAACAGUUACGUUCCAAUUGCUGCCAAUGAAUCCGUGUGAGCCGUGUUUGCAGAUCAUGCGAUGUGCUCGAGAAACCACUGACGUCUUCUUUAAAAUUUUCCGAGAAAUACUUUAAAGCGGUCUACCAAAAUCCGUUGCCUUGUCCUCAACAGUGUGCUUACCUCCAACAAGGGUAAUUUGGUAAUGCCCGGUUCAGUGCCGAGAGUGUGUCGUGAACCAGCUGAAGUCAUCCCGGCGAGCUCACCAGCAGAGACUUGGACAAGGAGUGUGGCUCAUGUGCAAGAGCAUCACGUGGAGGACAAGAACACCAGAAGAACUCGGCACUCCGCAAAUCUCAUACCGAGGCACCUACUGGGAAUCGGUCCAUCGCGACGCUACGGGCACGACGUCAAGGAACACAUAAACGAGCACCGCCAGCGGAGUUGGACGUACAUUGCAACCAGCGCUACCAAAUGUGACCACCAGGUGCACGGACUGCUAUUCUAAAGAGAUCGAAUCCAAAAAGAACGCCCCCACACGGAAAGGGGGCGUUUUGUAUACAAUUUUUGGUGCGCAGAAGCGAUCUACGGAGCACAAGUCGAUCCUCGAACAGGUUGGUCGAUCAGCGGUCGUCGCGAGGACUCAAGGCGACUUUGCGCUCCACACGUGCGCGCGACGCUUGGCGUGGAAAAGUAGAGUGCUAGCGAGAGGCAGACGAACAUCAGGAAGACGUGAAAGCGCAGUGUGCGAACACGAGGCGGACGGUGUGUACGUCGUGGAGACGUGGAGACGCAACGCGCGAAUGCGGGAACGUGUGCGCGUCACUUGGACGUGGGAAAGCAGUGCGCUAGCGUGAGGCGGUCGGAGUACGCGUGCGUCAAUGAUACGAGGUCGCAGGAACGCGGUACCCGAACACAGGGUGGGUCGAGAGUGGGUGUGAGCAUGACGUGGAGGUGCGGCAGGGUAGCAGAAGCAAGUGUGGUCUGGGUAGCGAAAGGAUGGGCCCAUCUGGUAGUAAGUAGGGAGAAUUGUGUUGUCCAUUAGGAUAAGGAAGCAGGGAUAAGAGUUUGGCAGGAGAAACCAUAAUAUGUAAACAACUCGAAUAAAGUAUGGCACUUCAGGCUCGGAUCCUCAUCAACACA